UACAGAGACUGCAAGCGUUAUUCGGAUUCACUGGGCGUAAAGGGUGCGCAGGCGGCCAAGUGUGUUAGGCGUGAAAGCCUGAGGCUUAACCUCAGAAUUGCACCUAAAACUACAUGGCUAGAGCAUUGGAGAGGGUAGCGGAAUUCCCGGUGUAGUGGUGGAAUGCGUAGAUAUCGGGAGGAACACCAGUGGCGAAGGCGGCUUCCUGGACCAGAGCUGACACUGAGGCACGAAAGCCGGGGGGAGCAAACAGGG
rnacentral:rRNA from 1 species